GAUGAAGAACGCAGUGAAAUGCGAUAAGUAAUGUGAAUUGCAGAAUUCAGUGAAUCAUCGAAUCUUUGAACGCACAUUGCGCCCCUUGGUAUUCCGGGGGGCAUGCCUGUUCGAGCGUCAUUUCAACCCUCAAGCUUCUGCUUGGUCUUGGGCCGUGCCGGCAACGGCUGGCCUUAAAACUAGUGGCGGUGCCAUCGAGCUCUACGCGUAGUAAUUCUAUCUCGCGUCUGGGCUUCGGUGGACGCUGGCCAGCAACCCCCAAUUUUCUAUGGUUGACCUCGGAUCAGGUAGGGAUACCCGCUGAACUUAAGCAUAUCAAUAAGCGGAGGA
rnacentral:misc_RNA from 1 species